CCUUGAGAGAGAGAAGGGGUAGCGGUAUGGCCACAGGAGAAGAGCUGACAGGAUCGGUCACUGCAACAGAUCAAAGCUCAGGAAUGAGCCUCUGAUGGGCUGUUUGAGAAGAAAGAAGGGUGGACCAUUUGAGUAGAAGCCUAAAUAAAGAUGAAUGUGCAUGUCAGGAGGCCAACAGCUGCCCAUUGUCACUGGUUCUACCUUUAGCAGCAUCUCUCUCCUCUCCUGAUAUCCUACAAGCCUGGAAACCUGGGACUGUUCAGAGCCCCGAGAGCUAGAAUAAGUGUGCCAUGUAAUGUGGAUGUGAGUAGUAAGACAGAAAAAUAAAAAACAAACUGUGGCGGGAGGCUAAUAAGACCCCCAUAGACAAACGUUUAGGUUGUUUCUAAGCUUUCGCUUUUUACAAUGUUGUAAUGAAUGAUUGUGAGCUCAUUCCAUGUAUUUGUGAAUAUAACUGUAAGAUAAAUUCCUAGAAGAAAAGGUGCUGGGUCAAAGGGCACGUGAUUUAAAAUCUUGAUCCUAGAAGAUAGUGCAAGUUACAUUCUCACCAGUGAUGCAUGAGAGAACACAUUUCCUUACAUCACAGCCAACACAAGGGACUGGCCGCCUUAAGCAGGGCUGCACAGGAGGAAAUCUGUCUCCUCCCCGCUCUGCUGAAACACUAAAUGAAGAACUUUUUAAUUGUUACUGAGUAUCUGAGUCAUUGAAUUCCUCAGUUUUCUGGAACUGUGAUCACACAAGGCUUCGCUUUAGAACACGGAUACUCUACAUAGUAAGAAGCUACAGUUGAACUGCACAUGCCACCCUCAUUACCACUCUCAUCAAAUGCUGUAGCUUCAACUUCCUCCUUCAAUCCAGUUUAAAGACUGGGACAUGGAAAAUAAGAAAGUGUUCGGACAUUUUCAGAAUGGAAUAACGCGUGUGAAGGGCGGGGUCCUGAUGCAGUGGCCACAGGCACACCUGAAGGUGUAGAUUUUCUUUUUGGGACAAAGACUCCCUAUUGUCCUUCAAAAAAAAAAAUCUUAUCAUAUUUUAAUUAUAUCACCCAGGAAAAUAGACUGUCCUGGAAAACAAAAGUCACCAGCCUCUGCUAAAGCUGGAGUCUUUAGGGGUAAAAUCAGGGGCACAGGUCAAACAUAGUUUUCGGUGACCUAUGUCUGCAAGGCAGUCAGAAGCAAUAAACUGUGCAGGGUUGAUUAAGCUUGAUGAUAUCAAUGUACUCUAUUGAGUAUUGAAAUAUUGAAAUAUUUGUGAUGUUAUCUAUUUAUUUGUAUUGUUCCAUGGGUAUGUAUCUCCUAUUUGCUUUCAUCAGAGAUUCAGAGGACAGUCCUCAAAAUGAAAAGAUUCUUGUAGUUGUUUUCUGAAACAUCCAAGAAGUACCUGGAAAGACAAAGGGAACAAAUAACUACUACUAUUAAUCAUUGGACGCUGAUAAUGUGCUAAAGGUGAUAUCUUAUUCACAACUGCACCAUGUAAGUGAUCAUCCAACAUUCUUCAGUGUUGUACUCAAGGCUCAGAGAGGGUAAGAAACUUGCCAGAGUCAUCCAGCAAGCAAGGAUCAAAUCUGGGAUUCAAAACAGGCCCCGAAGCCUCCAGAGCCUAGAGUGGGAGCUGGCACUGACAUGAGGACGGGAGAGUGGAAAAAGAAUCCUAGGAUUCCUGCAACGAAGCAGGUCUGGUCCCGACAAGGGGCCCCAGGCCUCACAGGGGGACUUGCCCAGUGAACACAGGGUGCCGGGAACUCCGUACCUCCCUCCUGCAGCCCGCAAUUUUCCAUCACCAUUGGAGAGCUGUUUGAAAUACUACAGCUCCAAUCCCCAUGACCCUCUUGAAAUUCCUCCACCAUCCCUGAGGCCUCCCAGUCCCAGUGUGGGAAAUUCUGCUUUAGAGGGAUGUUAUGAAUAUUAAGGAACAAGUGAUUAUUAACCUUUUGGCAAACAUACAGUCCUAUAGAAAUGUUAACCGUAUGUUCCCAUUUAACUUCAUUUAUAGCACUUGGACGACACUAAGACAUUUGCCUCUUGUUUAGGACUUAUACUAGUCAGAAUUUGCAAAGAAAUCAUUAGGCACUUCCUACAUAAGGCAUAAGAGACGCUGUCUACAUCUUCGUGCCUUCUGAUCCAGAGGGUUUGGUUUGGUUUGGUUUUUGCUUUGAAUAAUACCCUGUAGUUGACUGAGUCUGUUACAAAUAAUCUCUUAAUUAUGUGACUUACUCCACUCAAAAGACUUCAGCAAUUCACCAUUCCUCUGAGACCAUUUACAGGUUAUUAAAAAAUCUAAGUUCCGUAUAGUUGGCCUUCAACUUGGAUGUUAAGCUUGACAUGAUUCCUUUCCACGUGUUUUCAUUUUCUUCUGCGACAGCACCUCCUGCCCCCCAGAAUAGUGCAUUUAUCUCCCAAAUUCAAUCAUCUAUAUUAACUGGGGACCUGCUAUCUGGAUAAGUGAUAUCCACAAGUGUUCCAAGAAACUUUAAUAUUAAUAACUUUAUCGCAAUCAAUAGUUCCAAAUUCAUCAGACAGGAUUUCACUAGAGUUGCCAAAAAGGAAUACAAUUUAACUGCUCUGAGAGCCUUCACCCUGUUCUCAUCCCGUGUUUCCAUGGAAGAUGCAAAGAACAGAGACACACGAGAAAGGUGGACAGGCAGAGUCAAGAAUGAAACGGAAUGAGGUCUCUGUCAACAAGCUGGAUAAUGUCCAUUUCCCUGAGCUUGAGUCUGUUCCUCUCUGUUCCUCCUUCUGUUUUUUCUCUCUCCUCACUGGAGUGCUAAUGAAUACCUUCCACUGCUCUGGAAUGCCAUUAUGUUGUGAUUGUCCUCCCUUGCGAGGUCUUUGCAGAGGCCACGAUGAGACCGGUCUCAUCCACGGCUUUGUGUCCUCCUCCCUGAUACAGUCCCCAAAGGCCCUCUCCACUCAGGGCUCAAGUUCCACUCACUGGGUGGGUCAUACCCCCAGCCCUGUAAAAUGUUUCUGAAGGAUUGGGGCUCUGACAUACCUCACCCAAAUCUUUUGCAUCUUUAAUAAACGAAGUUAGUACCAAGAUAUCUUAAAGCAAUCAAGUCUUCAUUUACACCCUUUAAAUAUCUGUAGACAGUUAUCAUGGCCCUCUGUCAAGCAACACGAUGACCCGGUUCUGCCCUCUCUCAGAAAUGCGAAGGAGCAGUAUUCACGCUGUUUCAAAAAAUCCUCGGCAGCAGGGAAGACUGACUCCGUUGUUAUCAGAAAUGGAAAGUAAAUUUG
rnacentral:lncRNA from 1 species